rnacentral:rRNA from 1 species
UGGGGCUGAAGUAGGUCCCAAGGGUAUGGCUGUUCGCCAUUUAAAGUGGUACGCGAGCUGGGUUUAGAACGUCGUGAGACAGUUCGGUCCCUAUCUGCCGUGGGCGCUGGAGAACUGAGGGGGGCUGCUCCUAGUACGAGAGGACCGGAGUGGACGCAUCACUGGUGUUCGGGUUGUCAUGCCAAUGGCACUGCCCGGUAGCUAAAUGCGGAAGAGAUAAGUGCUGAAAGCAUCUAAGCACGAAACUUGCCCCGAGAUGAGUUCUCCCUGACUCCUUGAGAGUCCUGAAGGAACGUUGAAGACGACGACGUUGAUAGGCCGGGUGUGUAAGCGCAGCGAUGCGUUGAGCUAACCGGUACUAAUGAACCGUGAGGCUUAACCUUACAACGCCGAAGCUGUU